CUAUGCGCCUUGCCAGCCCGCUCAGGUGUGCCAGCAGCCGCGGUAAUACGGAGGGUGCAAGCGUUAAUCGGAAUUACUGGGCGUAAAGCGCACGCAGGCGGUUUGUUAAGUCAGAUGUGAAAUCCCCGGGCUCAACCUGGGAACUGCAUCUGAUACUGGCAAGCUUGAGUCUCGUAGAGGGGGGUAGAAUUCCAGGUGUAGCGGUGAAAUGCGUAGAGAUCUGGAGGAAUACCGGUGGCGAAGGCGGCCCCUGGACGAAGACUGACGCUCAGUGCGAAAGCGUGGGAGCAAACAGG
rnacentral:rRNA from 1 species